AUUGAACGCUGGCGGCAGGCCUAACACAUGCAAGUCGAACGAGUGGCGGACGGGUGAGUAAUGUCUGGGAAACUGCCCGAUGGAGGGGGAUAACUACUGGAAACGGUAGCUAAUACCGCAUACCAUCGGAUGUGCCCAGAUGGGCGUAGCUAGUAGGUGGGGUAACGGCUCACCUAGGCGACGAUCCCUAGCUGGUCUGAGAGGAUGACCAGCCACACUGGAACUGAGACACGGUCCAUACUCCUACGGGAGGAAGCAGUGGGGAAUAUUGGACAAUGGGCGCAAGCCGGGUGCGGCCGUGCCGUGUGUAUGAAGAAGGCCUUCGGGUUGUAAAGUACGUUAAGCGAGGAGGCGGUACUCGCAGAAGAAGCACCGGCUAACUCCGGGCCAGCAGCCGCGGUAAUUC
rnacentral:rRNA from 1 species